rnacentral:rRNA from 1 species
UGCGUAGGUGGUUUGAUAAGUUAUCUGUGAAAGCCCUGGGCUCAACCUGGGAAGGCCAGAUAAGACUGUUAGACUGGAGUAUGGGAGAGGGUAGUGGAAUUUCCGGUGUAGCGGUGAAAUGCGUAGAGAUCGGAAGGAACACCAGUGGCGAAGGCGGCUACCUGGCCUGAUACUGACACUGAAGCACGAAAGCGUGGGGAGCAAACAGGAUUAGAUACCCUGGUAGUCCACGCCGUAAACGAUGUCAACUAGCUGUUGGUCAUAUGAAUGUGAUUAGUGGCGAAGCUAACGCGAUAAGUUGACCGCCUGGGGAGUACGAUCGCAAGAUUAAA